rnacentral:rRNA from 1 species
GACGAACGCUGGCGGCGUGCUUAACACAUGCAAGUCGAACGGAAAGGCCCUGCUUUUGUGGGUUGCUCGAUUGGCGAACGGGUGAGUAACACGUGAGUAACCUGCCCUUGACUUUGGGGUAACUUCAGGAAACUGGGGCUAAUACCGGAUAGGAGCUCCUGCUGCAUGGUGGUGGUUGGAGAGUUUCGGCGGUUGUGGCUGGACUCGCGGCUUAUCAGCUUGUUGGUGGGGUAGUGGCUUACCAAGGCUUUGACGGGUAGGCGGCCUGAGAGGGUGACCGGGCACCAUGGGACUACGAUACGGAGCAGAAGCCUACCGGAGGCAACAGUGGGGAAUAUUGCACAAUGGGCGGAAGCCUGAUGCAGCAACGCCGCGUGCGGGAUGACGGCCUUCGGGUGGUAAACCGCUUUCGCCUGAGCCGAAGCGUGAGUGACGGUAAUGGGUAAAGAAGCACCGGCUAACUACGUG